rnacentral:rRNA from 1 species
CUUAAGCAUAUCAAUAAGCGGAGGAAAAGAAACCAACAGGGAUUGCCCUAGUAACGGCGAGUGAAGCGGCAACAGCUCAAAUUUGAAAUCUGGCGCAAGCCCGAGUUGUAAUUUGUAGAGGAUGCUUCUGGGCAGCGGCCGGUCUAAGUUCCUUGGAACAGGACGUCAUAGAGGGUGAGAAUCCCGUAUGUGACUGGCGCGCACCCUCCACGUAGCUCCUUCGACGAGUCGAGUUGUUUGGGAAUGCAGCUCUAAAUGGGAGGUAAAUUUCUUCUAAAGCUAAAUACCGGCCAGAGACCGAUAGCGCACAAGUAGAGUGAUCGAAAGAUGAAAAGCACUUUGGAAAGAGAGUUAAAAAGCACGUGAAAUUGUUGAAAGGGAAGCGCCUACAACCAGACUUCGCGGCAGUGUUCCGCCGGUCUUCUGACCGGUCCACUCUCUGUCGCGAGGCCAUCAUCGUCUGGGCCCGUCGGAUAAGACCUUGGGAAUGUAGCUCACCUUCGGGGGAGUGUUAUAGCCCAUGGUGAUGCGACGCGGCCCGGGCGAGGUCCGCGCUUCGGCAAGGAUGAUGGCGUAAUGGUUGUCGGCGGCCCGUCUUGAAACACGGACCAAGGAGUCUAACAUCUAUGCGAGUGUUCGGGUGUCAAACCCCUACGCGUAAUGAAAGUGAACGGAGGUGGGAACCGCAAGGUGCACCAUCGACCGAUCCUGAUGUCCUCGGAUGGAUUUGAGUAAGAGCAUAGCUGUUGGGACCCGAAAGAUGGUGAACUAUGCCUGAAUAGGGUGAAGCCAGAGGAAACUCUGGUGGAGGCUCGCAGCGGUUCUGACGUGCAAAUCGAUCGUCAAAUUUGGGUAUAGGGGCGAAAGAC